GAUGAACGCUAGCUACAGGCUUAACACAUGCAAGUCGAGGGGCAGCAUUUCAGUUUGCUUGCAAACUGGAGAUGGCGACCGGCGCACGGGUGAGUAACACGUAUCCAACCUGCCGAUAACUCGGGGAUAGCCUUUCGAAAGAAAGAUUAAUACCCGAUGGCAUAAUUAGACCGCAUGGUCUUGUUAUUAAAGAAUUUCGGUUAUCGAUGGGGAUGCGUUCCAUUAGGCAGUUGGUGAGGUAACGGCUCACCAAACCUUCGAUGGAUAGGGGUUCUGAGAGGAAGGUCCCCCACAUUGGAACUGAGACACGGUCCAAACUCCUACGGGAGGCAGCAGUGAGGAAUAUUGGUCAAUGGGCGCAGGCCUGAACCAGCCAAGUAGCGUGAAGGAUGACUGCCCUAUGGGUUGUAAACUUCUUUUAUAUGGGAAUAAAGUUUUCCACGUGUGGAAUUUUGUAUGUACCAUAUGAAUAAGGAUCGGCUAACUCCGUGCCAGCAGCCGCGGUAAUACGGAGGAUCCGAGCGUUAUCCGGAUUUAUUGGGUUUAAAGGGAGCGUAGGUGGACAGUUAAGUCAGUUGUGAAAGUUUGCGGCUCAACCGUAAAAUUGCAGUUGAUACUGGCUGUCUUGAGUACAGUAGAGGUGGGCGGAAUUCGUGGUCUAGCGGUGAAAUGCUUAGAUAUCACGAAGAACUCCGAUUGCGAAGGCAGCUCACUGGACUGCAACUGACACUGAUGCUCGAAAGUGUGGGUAUCAAACAGGAUUAGAUACCCUGGUAGUCCACACAGUAAACGAUGAAUACUCGCUGUUUGCGAUAUACAGUAAGCGGCCAAGCGAAAGCAUUAAGUAUUCCACCUGGGGAGUACGCCGGCAACGGUGAAACUCAAAGGAAUUGACGGGGGCCCGCACAAGCGGAGGAACAUGUGGUUUAAUUCGAUGAUACGCGAGGAACCUUACCCGGGCUUAAAUUGCAUUUGAAUAUAUUGGAAACAGUAUAGCCGUAAGGCAAAUGUGAAGGUGCUGCAUGGUUGUCGUCAGCUCGUGCCGUGAGGUGUCGGCUUAAGUGCCAUAACGAGCGCAACCCUUAUCUUUAGUUACUAACAGGUCAUGCUGAGGACUCUAGAGAGACUGCCGUCGUAAGAUGUGAGGAAGGUGGGGAUGACGUCAAAUCAGCACGGCCCUUACGUCCGGGGCUACACACGUGUUACAAUGGGGGGUACAGAAGGCAGCUACCUGGUGACAGGAUGCUAAUCCCAAAAGCCUCUCUCAGUUCGGAUCGAAGUCUGCAACCCGACUUCGUGAAGCUGGAUUCGCUAGUAAUCGCGCAUCAGCCAUGGCGCGGUGAAUACGUUCCCGGGCCU
rnacentral:rRNA from 1 species